AUUGAACGCUGGCGGCAUGCCUUACACAUGCAAGUCGAACGGUAACAGGUCUUCGGAUGCUGACGAGUGGCGAACGGGUGUGUAAUACAUCGGAACGUGCCUAGUAGUGGGGGAUAACUACUCGAAAGAGUGGCUAAUACCGCAUGAGAUCUACGGAUGAAAGCAGGGGAUCGCAAGACCUUGUGCUACUAGAGCGGCCGAUGGCAGAUUAGGUAGUUGGUGGGAUAAAAGCUUACCAAGCCGACGAUCUGUAGCUGGUCUGAGAGGACGAUCAGCCACACUGGGACUGAGAAACGGCCCAGACUCCUACGGGAGGCAGCAGUGGGGAAUUUUGGACAAUGAGCGAAAGCCUGAUCCAGCAAUGCCGCGUGCAGGAUGAAGGCCUUCGGGUUGUAAACUGCUUUUGUACGGAACGAAAAGCCCCGGGUUAAUACCCUGGGGUCAUGACGGUACCGUAAGAAUAAGCACCGGCUAACUACGUGCCAGCCGCCGCAGUAA
rnacentral:rRNA from 1 species